ACGUCAGCGGCACCGGCAGGGCCCCCCCGGCCCCUGUCCCUGUCCCUGUCCCUGUCCCCGUCGUUGUCCCCGCCCGGCCGCCGCCGUCACCUGGGGCCCGUCCCCUCGGCAGGAGGCGAAAAUGAGCGAAAAAAAGUUCCUCCACCCGCUAAGGCAGGGAAGGCUGGAGCGCCUCGUGCCCUUGGAGCUCCCAGACGUGUUUCCCGACAUGCGCAGGGAAAGCAGAUUUGCAGGCAGCAUCUUCCUUGUGAAUCGGCAGUCCUGGAAAAUGCUUCUGGGUGCUGGAGCAGCGCUGCGCACCUCUGGCCUAUGCCAAUUUCCAGGGACGUCUAGGGACUUAGCAUGGCUCAGGAGCCAGUCCCAACGUACAACUUCUUUGGACCACUGCUGUGGAGCAGAACCAAGAUUACUGAAAUGGACAGGGGCUGUGUCAGAGCAGCUGCCCUCUGUUACCAGAGAAUAGUUCUGCUCACGUACAGUUUACUGCUAUAGAGGGAAGGAUAAACAAAGUACAAACAGGGCCUUUGAGCCCCUGUUAUAUGCAGACUUAACUUGUAGUCAGGCUUCACGUGUGAGGACCCAGCUAACUGUAUUAUCUCUAGGAGUUCCCUUCAUUUUUUGCUGACAUUUAUUCAGAGUAGAGGUGUAUCUAUUACAGUGAUUUUAAUUUUGCUUUAAGUGAAUGGAAUUACUUGAAGCAGCAGAAGCUUGUCAGGAGGAAUUCUCUGAAUGAAUAGGCUAGGAAGGUAAAGCUAAGGUUCUUCCUGUGUGCUGAAAUUAUUUUAAGAGUAAUAAAUAAAAGCACCUUAGGGAAUAUACACUAAUUAGAGUGGAAGGUAUUACUUUCCUGUUACAACAAGUAGUAAGGGUUUCUACUUCCGAAGUGCUGAAAUACUCUUUUCUUAUCUAUGUGGUGUUAAAGAAUCACCAAAGAAUCUGAGCAACUUCUCUGAUUCUUAAAAAGGAGAAGUGAUUUGAAUAUAUGUUUACUUCAUUCCUAAAUAUUGAAAAACGUACGAUAUUGUCUUAGUCUUUUCAUGUAAUCUGUGCGUUGAUUUUUCCCAUAAGAUACGAAAAUAUGAAGCAAGUUCUGGAAUUAAAAAAAAGAAAAAUUAUUAAUUUGUUUUGCAGCAGAAAAGCCCAAAAUUUUCAUCGGAUAGGAGCCAUUAUGCAAAACAGUACAGAAGCGUGUAGAGAUCAAUAUGAACAACAACUUAUUCAUAAUGAUGAAGUACAGAGAAUUCCAGGAGUGUUAGAUAAAGGUGUCUGCAUCGACCUUUUUGUUCUGAAACAUUUGUCACUUUUGGUUCAACAACGAUGGCAUUGGAAACCUCCUGUAGUCUAUACAGGGCUACAAGUGGCUGCUGGCAUCUGUCUGUCCUGUAAGGGUAUUUACAGCCAAUUUUUGUGAGAGGAUGGUGAGAGUUCCAAGGUUGGCCAUCAGAUUUUGUGGCUGUUACUUACUGCCAGACAGUGUUCUGAGCAACUGUUUUGGUUCUGAGAAAUGAUUGACAAAGAAAGGCCAGAUAGAAAAGACAGAAGUGAAAAAGGAAGACCAAGGCUAGCUGGCAAUUAAAUAGCUUUCUGCAGGAUUGCUAGUGUAAGCUAGUUUUCAGAAGGCAAGUUCUUUUUAUACUUUAACAUAAUGAAGAUGAUUAUCAAUGAGAUUUAUAAAUCUCUCCGUUAUUUCAGCAUAUGUGUGAAAUAAUGCUGCCUCUAAACCACACAAUUUUGCCAGCAAAAAAUCCCAAUUAGAUACAGUCACAUUUAGCAAACAAAAGAUGCACAAGCAAGUGUUCUUAAUGAAAAAGGGAAAAAAUCAUUAUGAUAGGGAACACAUGUCUCUUUCAGAGUUCUGUUCAAGCUUCCAAACUGUUUGUUUAUACCAUUUCAGUGCUCAAUUCCUUUUUAAGGCUUUUUUUGUUGUUGUGUCCCAUUUCAGUGUCAUAUUGCAUUACCUCUUUCUAUAAGGGUAUGGUGUGCAGAUAUUUUCCAGGAAAGAAAUGAGAUAGGAAAACAUCAGAACUUACCAAGAUGACUGUUUGCACUGAGCAGCAGAGCAUGCAUAUAAAAGGACCGGCUGCUGAUCAUCAUAGCAUCCACAUUUUGUGGUUCUGAAGUGGAAGAUCUGUCUGAGACCUCCUUGAUGAGUUUCUUCAGAGAAGUGUGUUCUUUUGUGGGGGAUCUAUUUGUUUAUUUAUUUUAUAGCUUAAUUCACCCACUUGUCGCGCACAGAAAAUUUUAGUAAUCUCAGUCAUCUGCACUGAAAUUUCCUAUUUUAUGUUCUGUUCUCUACUUAUUCAUGGAUGACUGGGGCCAUAUGCUCCAACUCCUUUCCAUUCUUCCUUUUGCCAGCAAAACAGGCUCUCGAUUUGCAUUGAGCUAUGUAAUGCUGUCUGGUGAGAGAUCCAGAGGGACCUGUUGGAUAUUGCUAGGAGCAUCUAUGCCUGUGCUACUGCAGGGGAAACAGCUAUCAAUUCAACAAGCAAAAUUUGGGAUAAUUGCAUCUGCUAAAUAAAAUAUUUACAGGAAAGAAUCUAUUAGUAUAAAACAUAGCAUCCUAGGAAAACAUCAGGAAAGACUGAGAAAACAGGAGGAAAAAUAGGGGAAAAAAAGACCAAAAGGUCAGGGAAAAUAAAAUAAAUAUACUGAGGAAAGGGAUAGAAAUGAGAGGUAAGUGGAGUCUUAUAAAACUGGUGUAAACAAGGGAAAGCUAUGACUUAGGCUAGUUCUGUUGCCCUAACUACGUUUUCUGUGAAGUUCUCAUACUAUUUUUGCCCAACUGUUUUCACACCAGUGGCGUUGUGCCAUGACAUGAUGCUCAAGAAUGCAUUUCCACCAAGGUUUCUCCGACAGCUUCCCAGGGAUGCAGCUCUGGUGCUGGUGUGAACGGUGGAGGCUUGCUGCUGACAUUAUCUAACCCGCUGAUCUGAGGGGAUUUCUCUGUCUACACCUACAGCUUCUUAAUGCUGUAAUAAACCAAUUCCAGUUACUGAAGCGUAAGAUGUUUUCUCCCUGCUUCAGACAAACAAGGGGGACUUGAUUCUACAAUAGCUCUUAAAAUGUGCACUGAAAUAAAGUACUACCCUGCUAUCGUGCCAUCAGUUCAACUUAUUUCAGAUUAAAACUGCUACAGCUAUGGCAAUCCAUUGCCUCGGAAGAGCAAACCUAAGUGUGCAUCUAUGUUAGCGUUUUAUUUCAGUUCUGUUACAUAGUUUUGAAGCAAAUUGGGUUGACAUCCUCUCCUCCUCUUUGUCCCGUUUGGUGGAGCAUCCCCACGACACGCAGAGGAAAUGUUUCACCUGAAAUGUAGCAGGAAGCUGUGCUCCAGCCACAAAUGGAGUGCCCUGGAAAUACAAACCCGACGAAGCAAGCACAGUGUGGAGGCUGGUCUUCCGCUCAAACUAGGGUGCAGUGCAGAGCUCUUCCUGUUGUGUCAUCCUGCGUGCUAACACAGGCAUCGCCUAAGUCACGCCGUGAUUAAAACACCAGUGCUGCUAGCCCCAUGUUUAUGGCCUCAGCUAUUUCACUAGGCUGGGAUAAAGCUCAACAUAGAAGAUGCUGCAGGACUGCUUGGAUCCGGACUGCCUGAUCACAUUAUGAAAAAAUAAUUUCAGAUACAAAAGAAAAUUACUGAGUUCACAAGUUAAUUUUCACCACGCUACGGAAGCCUGUGGAACAUGUCUCUCCUACCAACCUCACCCAGAGCCAGAGGAACAGAGGAAGCAAAUGGAUUCUCCUAGUGCUCAGCAUUGCUACAGAACAGCUACCCUGCAGUCCCCAUGUUUGCUGUCUGCUGCUACUCCACAGCUGUCCCAGAUGAAAUUAAACAGCUCCGGUCUCCUGUCCAAAAGUUCAGUAAAGCCAGUUAGUUGCCAAGGGAGCAAAUAGUAAGUUGGAUCUCCUAGGACAUCACACCACCACCAAUGUGAAUACCAGCCAUGAAGCUGGCAGCAAGAAUGUAGCCAUGGCUGUCACAAAAACCAUCUCGAGAAGCUGUUAUUUCUCACAAGAAUUAUUGGUGGGGCCCAGUUACUUCCCUCUGAAUGAACACAACAUCCUCUUAAUGGAGGCACAAAUCUUCACGACAGGAGCUCCGACUGCUGAUCUACUGGCAGCGAAUUGACUAGUCACUAGAAAGCAGCGAGCAGGAUUAGAUUCCUGAAGGAUGGCCUGGAACCAUCUUGAGGGAAGUCACUGUUCGCCUCUGAAAUCCCCAGGGCACUGCUUCCCAUUCCGUUCUUGGUACUCUCUUGUCCCAAGAGGAGCAUCACAAGGAGAAGGCCGUACAGAAAUAUCCACUUUCACGAUCCCUCUUCUCCAAUGGCUGUCCCCGUUACACCACAGUGGACAGGGUACUGGCAUCUUCCACCUCUUCAAGGUCGUCCACCAAAACAAGGCCAUACACCUGAAGAACUUUUUGGUAUUAACGGCUUUCAGAAAGAUGGUGCGCAGCGCUUCGGAAACGGCACCGAGACUCUCAGCAGCAAAUUCACUGUGGAGCACUGAAACUGGAGAAAGGCUACUUGGUUCAUUUGCCCCCAGUCCGGAAUAUUCCAGUAGGUUGGAAACUGCAUCCUGUGGUGCUGUCAAAGGUACGACACUGCAACGCAGCACACGGGCUAUGAGUUCUUCGCAGUGGGAAGAACAGACAACUUCACCUCCCAGGCAUCAUUGCCCUUCUGAGAGGGGAGGGACAGAGUGGGGCAAUCUGCUGGUAGAACGCACCAGCCGCGGGUCCCUUUGGCCGUGACACUUUGGGGGAGUCAGCAGUGGGAUGGCCGCAGGGUGGCUGACUCCCUGCAAGGCUCCAGACACCUUACAGGUCAUACACAAGCAGGUGUGCUUGGAGAGCUCCUGUGGUUCCCCAUCACGGGCUCCUCAGGGUCUCCCCAGGCAGCACGGGUGCAGGCGCCCCACCUGCUGGAGAGGACAGGGUGCAGGCAGAUGCACGACUCAUCCUGGAGUGCCAUCUAUUGAAUCACCAGACACGCUUGCAUGCUGAAACCCAGAAGCCGCAUCUUGAAUCACCCCGCAAGCCAGUAUCUCAUUCAAAAAAGAUAUGCUUAACUAUUUUUUUUCCCUAAUCUGAGGGGAAAGCAUACGUUUUCUAAGCAGUGACCUGCAGAAUACUGACAUCCUAGGGUCUGUGACAAAACAACAGAAUUUCAAAGGGAAGCCCACGAAUUCUGCAGAUAUGCAAUCUCCCAAAUAUAUAUAUUAUAUAUAUAUUUAAAUCUAAGAUCUACAGUGUAUUAUUUUAUUAAAGCAAUAGCUUUAAACACCUCCACCUGGCUUAUUAAUACUAUAAUUAUUAACAGUGGAGUGGCACUCAGGUGAAUGGAAGGGUUUCAUCUGGCUUUUGUUCAGAAAUGUCGCAUCUUGCCUACGCUACCUGGGCUCAGUGAUGGAAGAGGCAAAUGGUUUCAGUUCUUUAGCUUCUCAAUAUAUUUAGCGUAAGCAACAUUUUGCGGUUCUAAGAAAACCAACAUCACAAUUAAUUCCCUGUCUUUUGAUUGUUAUUUUAAAAGGUGGGGAAGUAGUUCAAGCACUCUUUGUAUUUCAGAUAUUACAGAAAAAAAAAUUAGCAGUCUCAUUCUGUCCGAGUUUCAGUAAUAUGCCUUUUCUACAUGAAGACAAAACUUUCUGAUUGUUGACCAAGGCUCAGAGCUUUUUGAGGAAGAUUUUGAAGCAAAAAUACAUACACAUCUCAACUCUGUGCAUAACAAUGCACCUGAAGGAAACCAUUCUGGGGAAGGAGGAAUUCGAUCCAGAAGCUAACGAUGCCUCCCCUGCUUCAGAAAAUUGGAGUGAUUGGUACAUUCAAUAAAGAAAAGAAAAGUAACCCUGCCUUCUAGUACAAUACCCAGAAGGGCUAUCCUUUCACCAGGUAAAAAUUCUUUUUGCAGACAGUGCAAUGAACGUAAGUACUUGACCACUUACUAAACCAUCAUCUAAUAAAAAAUUUCAUCGCAAUAGGUUAUUGCAUUCUCCAACACCACACCAUCAACACCAGUGUCUUUAGACUUCAGAAUAUGAGCUCCCAAAUGGAUGGUGCCAUCUGGAGCACUGGGAAUCAUAUCCAAUUCUCUCACCAUGUAAAUAUUAAUAAAUCCCACAGCACCUUUCAAGGAAGAAAAGCACUCUUCCUUCUUGUAUGGGAGUAGAUAAAUUUCAGGCUCUUUCUCUGGGAGAAAUGCUUCAGUUUUGCUUUGCAUGCACUGCUUUUAGCUUCAACCAUUUACCAUUUGAAAUAAGAGCUCAGAAUGUUUCGAUAGAAGUCCCUGACAUGGAUUUUGGGAUAUGUUUUCCAUUUGAACUUCAAAAAGCUCUGAUGUUACCCAAGUUGACAGCUGGAAUUGUCUUAACAGCAGCAUGAGCACCGUAAAGCUCAAAGCUUCUGCAACCUCCUCCCAGGUCCUGCUGAGACGCAGGUACCACCAAACACUCGUACCUCAUGUGCUGUCGCAACUGAAGUCUGGGAAAACAGCAAAACGCUAUUAAACUGAAAUCGCUUGUAAACAGCAUACAUUUGAGAAAGAUAAAAACAAGUAGUCAGCAUAUUCGCUCUGCAAAACGAAGCGCUGUGGCACAGCUCCUCGAGCUACCAGAGAUGCAUCUUCAUAAACCAACAGAAACGCGGCUCUGCUUGGCCCUACAAAGUUUUGGUGCACUUUGGCUUGUGAGGUGCAGUCAGUCUGUGCAGCAGGGUGUUUCACGUGGGGGGAGGCACCUCACAAACUCGGGGACAUCUGGCUCGGCUGUUAGUCUGGGUUGAGAGGCCUCCCUCAGCAGAGCAGACAUGUCUUAACGGAAUCAGUUCAAUGCAAAAGCUGAGUAAAAGGAGGUGGUGUUUGGUGAAGAAAUUCCCAACUGAAAAUAU